ACUCCUACGGGAGGCAGCAGUGGGGAAUAUUGCACAAUGGGGGAAACCCUGAUGCAGCCAUGCCGCGUGUGUGAAGAAGGCCUUCGGGUUGUAAAGCACUUUCAGCGAGGAGGAAAAGGGUGUAAGUUAAUACCUUACAUCUGUGACGUUACUCGCAGAAGAAGCACCGGCUAACUCCGUGCCAGUAGCCGCGGUAAUACGGAGGGUGCGAGCGUUAAUCGGAAUUACUGGGCGUAAAGCGUGCGCAGGCGGUUUGUUAAGCGAGAUGUGAAAGCCCCGGCUCAA
rnacentral:rRNA from 1 species